AACGAACGCUGGCGGCAGGCCUAACACAUGCAAGUCGAGCGCACCUUCGGGUGAGCGGCGGACGGGUUAGUAACGCGUGGGAACGUGCCCUUCUCUACGGAAUAGCCUCUGGAAACGGAGAGUAAUACCGUAUACGCCCUUUGGGGGAAAGAUUUAUCGGAGAAGGAUCGGCCCGCGUUAGAUUAGGUAGUUGGUGGGGUAACGGCCUACCAAGCCUACGAUCUAUAGCUGGUUUUAGAGGAUGAUCAGCAACACUGGGACUGAGACACGGCCCAGACUCCUACGGGAGGCAGCAGUGGGGAAUCUUAGACAAUGGGGGCAACCCUGAUCUAGCCAUGCCGCGUGAGUGAUGAAGGCCUGAGGGUCGUAAAGCUCUUUCGCCUGUGAUGAUAAUGACAGUAGCAGGUAAAGAAACCCCGGCUAACUCCGCUCCAAAG
rnacentral:rRNA from 1 species